UACGUAGGGGGCGAGCGUUGUCCGGAUUUAUUGGGCGUAAAGAGCGUGUAGGCGGCCUGGCAAGUCCGCUGGGAAAACUCGAGGCUUAACCUCGAGACGUCGGUGGAAACUGCCUGGCUAGAGUCCGGAAGAGGAGAGUGGAAUUCCUGGUGUAGCGGUGAAAUGCGCAGAUAUCAGGAAGAACACCCGUGGCUAAGGCGGCUCUCUAGUACGGUACUGACGCUGAGACGCGAAAGCGUGGGGAGCGAACAGG
rnacentral:rRNA from 1 species